rnacentral:rRNA from 1 species
GGCGGCAUGCCUUACACAUGCAAGUCGAACGGCAGCACGGGGGCAACCCUGGUGGCGAGUGGCGAACGGGUGAGUAAUACAUCGGAACGUGUCCUGUAGUGGGGGAUAGCCCGGCGAAAGCCGGAUUAAUACCGCAUACGAUCUACGGAAGAAAGCGGGGGACCGAAAGGCCUCGCGCUAUAGGGGCGGCCGAUGGCAGAUUAGCUAGUUGGUGGGGUAAAGGCCUACCAAGGCGACGAUCUGUAGCUGGUCUGAGAGGACGACCAGCCACACUGGGACUGAGACACGGCCCAGACUCCUACGGGAGGCAGCAGUGGGGAAUUUUGGACAAUGGGGGAAACCCUGAUCCAGCAAUGCCGCGUGUGUGAAGAAGGCCUUCGGGUUGUNAAGCACUUUUGUCCGGAAAGAAAACUUCUGCAUUAAUACUGCGGGAGGAUGACGGUACCGGAAGAAUAAGCACCGGCUAACUACGU